AUGACACAAAGAAACUCCAGGACAAGCUUCAUUCCCUGUCAUUACCAUUUCCAAGUGACAAACAAAGGACGACGCAUCCAUCGGCUGUUCUGGACCACAGAAGGUUUCAACAUAUUUCAGCAGCAUCAUUGUCCCCCUGCCCUCGGUGGAACCAAGAGUAAAGAUGCUUCCCAGAGCCCCAGACCUCACAGCCCCGUGUUUAAGCUGUGGCCACUGAUGGUGGACCUGAGGCUGGGCCAUACUGUGGAGAUGAUUCUGGAAGGCUGCUCCAGCACUGCCAGGUGAGGCCCCUGCCAAGGGCAGAACCUUCCCCAUCAGAUCUCCUCCACUGGGGCUUCUGCAGCUCCUUGGCAUUUGCCUGGAAAAAGGAGCAAGUGACUUCAAGAAACUGUUUAAAGGCCACAGGUUUCCAUGGAAGCACCAGUUGCUUUCCUUGCUGGCCACCAUCAGUUGCUAAGGCUCUUUUGUGUUUCCAUAGCUACCAAAACCCAGUGCUGAUCCCAAAAUACAGGCUGACGGAAAUAUUGCUCCUUCAGGGCAAACAGAGGUUACCAAUGUUGUGUGCUGAGGCAGAAAGGGAGGGCAGGGAAAGUAAGUUACACUUAAGACUAGAAGCCAGGCAGGAAGUAAAUUAAACAAAUCCCAAAUGCUUUAUUCAGGAGAAGCAAGGAGUAAAACAGAAGCCCUGUGAAGGGUUGUGUGUCUGGGAGCAGCAUUGCUUUUUGUUUGAAGACAAACAUGGGCAGAAGGCUGGUCUAGCCCUGAGUCCUGGAGGAGGAAAACACAGUGUGCCAGCUCUAAUGAUCAGUGUGGUGUCUAUCCAUGUGGGAAACUGCUCCCAGGGAUCGUUAUAAUUGACAACUUGACUUUUGCCAAUAUUUCCAUAACCACUCAUCCCAGUCUCUCAGCCAGCCCUGGUGUCCCAAGGGCAGCCAGGUUUUGCAGCACCCUUAGAGAGCAGCUCAGAGGAGAUUUUAGCAGGAUCGUGGAUAUUCUCCUUUCUGUGCCUUUUUUCCCAGGGAAAAUGCAACUCUACAGAGAAAAUGCCAGCUAACCCUGGUGUGCAUUCCCUGGCUCCAGGACCACUGGGCACACAUGGAAGUGAAUGUGAAAUGUGCAUGCAUGAAGCUCCUGCUUAUACUGGUAUUCUGAGAAAGGUGCCUCAGUGGUAGCUUGAGGAAGACUUGCCCAGUUGCCUUCAGAGGGACUGUCCCUGUGCAGUUUUGAGCCCAAAGGUUUUGCUGGAGAGGUAAAUAAAAUUAUCAGGGUACUAGUGAGGAUGUCUUGC
rnacentral:lncRNA from 1 species